rnacentral:rRNA from 1 species
GGCGAGUGGCGACGGGUGAGUAUACAUCGGAACGCGUCCUGUAGUGGGGGAUAGCCCGGCGAAAGCCGGAUUAAUACCGCAUACGCUCUACGGAGGAAAGGGGGGGAUCUUAGGACCUCUCGCUACAGGGGCGGCCGAUGGCAGAUUAGCUAGUUGGCGGGGUAAAGGCCUACCAAGGCGACGAUCUGUAGCUGGUCUGAGAGGACGACCAGCCACACUGGGACUGGGACACGGCCCAGACUCCUACGGGAGGCAGCAGUGGGGAAUUUUGGACAAUGGGCGCAAGCCUGAUCCAGCAAUGCCGCGUAUGUGAAGAAGGCCUUCGGGUUGUAAAGCACUUUUGUCCGGAAAGAAAUCCUUUGGGCUAAUACCCUGAGGGGAUGACGGUACCGGAAGAAUAAGCACCGGCUAACUACGUGCCAGCAGCCGCGGUAAUACGUAGGGUGCAAGCGUUAAUCGGAAUUACUGGGCGUAAAGCGUGCGCAGGCGGUUCGCUAAGACAGAUGUGAAAUCCCCGGGCUUAACCUGGGAACUGCAUUUGUGACUGGCGGGCUAGAGUAUGGCAGAGGGGGGUAGAAUUCCACGUGUAGCAGUGAAAUGCGUAGAGAUGUGGAGGAAUACCGAUGGCGAAGGCAGCCCCUGGGCCAAUACUGACGCUCAUGCACGAAAGCGUGGGGAGCAAACAGGAUUAGAUACCUGGUAGUCCACGCCCUAAACGAUGUCAACUAGUUGUCGGGUCUUCAUUGACUUGGUAACGUAGCUAACGCGUGAAGUUGACCGCCUGGGGAGUACGGUCGCAAGAUUAAAACUCAAAGGAAUUGACGGGGACCCGCACAAGCGGUGGAUGAUGUGGAUUAAUUCGAUGCAACGCGAAAAACCUUACCUACCCUUGACAUGGUCAGGACCCUGCUGAAAGGUGGGGGUGCCCGAAAGGGAACUGAUACACAGGUGCUGCAUGGGUGUCGUCAGCUCGUGUCGUGAGAUGUUGGGUUAAGUCCCGCAACGAGCGCAACCCUUGUCCCUAGUUGCUACGCAAGAGCACUCUAGGGAGACUGCCGGUGACAAACCGGAGGAAGGUGGGGAUGACGUCAAGUCCUCAUGGCCCUUAUGGGUAGGGCUUCACACGUCAUACAAUGGUCGGAACAGAGGGUCGCCAACCCGCGAGGGGGAGCCAAUCCCAGAAAACCGAUCGUAGUCCGGAUCGCACUCUGCAACUCGAGUGCGUGAAGCUGGAAUCGCUAGUAAUCGCGGAUCAGCAUGCCGCGGUGAAUACGUUCCCGGGUCUUGUACACACCGCCCGUCACACCAUGGGAGUGGGUUUUACCAGAAGUGGCUAGUCUAACCGCAAGGAGGACGGU